AAAAAUCUUUGACACAAGGUUAUAAUCAGCGAUGUCUGAAGAGAAACUGUCCCGUCUGGUUUGAAACAUGUUCAAACAAGGUAUUUCUCUGCUCAGAGCAGCAGCUGAGCAGGCUUGCUUUCGAAGGCACACGGCUGAAGAAUGCAUCCACAAAAAGGAAAAUGAAGUCCAGUUAAGUUUGUUGAACUUGCAAACAGGACGUUUCUGAAGGAACUGAAAGAAUCACAUACAGUAAUUUGAGGAAGUUUCCUGGGCUUUCCUGAGACCACGCAGGUUGGUCCGUAGUUACACAGGUUGCAGUUCACUUGUGGCAUUGAAGUAAGCUGGAAG